rnacentral:lncRNA from 10 species
GGGAAGACCUGGGUUUUAGUCCUGUCUCCAUCAACCUCAAGAAAUGGGACCUCAUGGAAGGGAGGGGAGGCAAUGCCGAGGAUGUGCUCCUGAGCAGGUGCCACAAUUCUUCACCUGUAAGGCUGAUCUAAGAAGAUUCCUAAUUAUCAAUUGAGAGCAGAGAUAUUCCACUUCCAAUUACAUGGCCUGCCUGCUCACUCUUACUUCCUAUUCACACUCUCUUGGAGACCACUUUGUGAUUCUACCAAAUUCUAUAGGAGAGGUGACAACCCCAAAGAGAAGGCUCUAGAAAGAUGACAUUUGGAAAUGUGUACGCUAGUGUCUGCUGGCUCCUCCUGAGCCAUUUUUACUCUGUGAAUGAGAUCAAAGGCCACCUAACUGCCUAAAUCACCACAAAGGGACAAACUGGUAUCUCAGAGCACUCAGCAACAAAAACAAGAAAGCUAAGCCUCUGCACUGCAAUGUGGCAGGGCUUCUGGCUAAGUAUAGCAAGCAAUUCUGAUGUGGAGACAAACAGCAGCAAUGGGAAUGAUAUGCCAAUGAAGGAUUCCAACAGUUGGGUCUGCAAGUGUGCUUGUCCUGUGACACAAACGGCCUAGACAUCUCAGCACUGCUUGGAGCUGCUCAUUGGGGGAGCCUAAGAAACAUCAGCCCUUUCACAACCUCUUGCUCCUGAGCAGAGCUCAUCUCCCAAGAGCACAUCAGCCCGCAGCCCAGUCUGAUGAGAAGCACAGUAUUCCCCUGUGCCAGUGGCAGCCUCAGAGCAUCCUGAAAGAGCGCUUCCUAGACACGCAGUGGAAGCCAUGACUUCCCCUAAGCUGCCGGUGCUGCCUCUGAACUCAUGUGGAGGUUCUUUUUUCAGUGUCCCCAGAGGCAGCAGAAAAAUCCGUUUUCCAUUUUGGAAUCUAUCAAGUAGGACAAAUCUGCCACCUGGGAGCAUCUCCUCAAGGGCAAUCUCUGCUCCCUUUCCUACAUGGCCUGACAAUACCCUCGAGUUAGAAAUGUCCCAUGUUGGCUAGGCACAGUGGCUCAUGCCUGUAAUCCCAGCACUUUGGGAGGCUGAGGUGGGAGGAUUGCUUGAGGCCAGGAGUUUUGAGACCAGCCUGACAUAGAGAGACUAUGCCUCUAUUAUUUUAAAAAAAGAAAUGUCACAUAUUUUUACCCUCUUCACUCAUCUUUCCACCUUGCUCCAAUAGAUUGCUGACAGAAAAGUGAGACCUCCUCCACCCCAAGGUCUCCUAAGAGAAUGCUGCUAGCCAAAAAAAGAUCUGCUGAUAAUUGAGGAAGAGCAUCUUUAAAAAGACACUCAACUACAUUUCAGAAACAUAAAGAUCUAAGUGUUGGCUCUACAAGGGAAGAAAUAAAGAGAAAGAACUUUUUUUCCUCCUACAACAGGUCUAGACAACGUCAUACAAGGAGUUGCACGCAUAUCCAAAACAAAAGCAAGGCAAAAACAAGCAAAAAAGCAACAAAUGCAUUCCAAAAUGAUGUCCAUUUAUCAGCCCAGAAAUGUACUGGAUACUGGUUUAGUUCAGCCUGUAGGUGCUGGGAAGAAAUUCCGACAAAUCCAAGUCAGUUGCAAAAAGGGAAAACUCCAGACAUAUCACCCAAUGAACUUGUAAGAAAGCAUAUGAGCUUCCCUGAACAGAUUUUACUCCAGGUUUGCAGCCCGCAAGAUUUAAGAUGGGGCCAUGAGGUUAAAUCUUGUAAACUCA